GUAAUGAUGAGGGAUGGAGUUCCCUAUGAUUGUCUCAUUGAGACUGAUAACUCCUGGACAGUA
rnacentral:ncRNA from 1 species